rnacentral:rRNA from 1 species
UGGAGAAAGAGGGGGAUCUUCGGACCUCUUGCUAAUAGAUGAGCCUAGGCCGGAUUAGCUAGUUGGUAGGGUAAAGGCCUACCAAGGCGACGAUCUGUAGCUGGUCUGAGAGGAUGGCCAGCCACACUGGAACUGAGACACGGUCCAGACUCCUACGGGAGGCAGCAGUGGGGAAUAUUGGACAAUGGGGGCAACCCUGAUCCAGCCAUGCCGCGUGUGAAGAAGGCCUUCGGGUUGUAAAGCACUUUAAGCGAGGAGGAAGGUUUACUAGCUAAUACCUAGUAGAAUUGACGUUACUCGCAGAAUAAGCACCGGCUAACUCUGUGCCAGCAGCCGCGGUAAUACAGAGGGUGCAAGCGUUAAUCGGAAUUACUGGGCGUAAAGCGCGCGUAGGCGGUAUGUUAAGUCGGAUGUGAAAUCCCUGGGCUCAACCUAGGCACUGCAUCCGAUACUGGCACACUAGAGUGUGGGAGAGGAAGGUAGAAUUCCAGGUGUAGCGGUGAAAUGCGUAGAGAUCUGGAGGAAUACCGAUGGCGAAGGCAGCCUUCUGGCCUAACACUGACGCUGAGGUGCGAAAGCAUGGGGAGCAAACAGGAUUAGAUACCCUGGUAGUCCAUGCUGUAAACGAUGUCAACUAGCCGUUGGGAGCCUUGAGCUUUUAGUGGCGUAGCUAACGCGAUAAGUUGACCGCCUGGGGAGUACGGUCGCAAGACUAAAACUCAAAUGAAUUGACGGGGGCCCGCACAAGCGGUGGAGCAUGUGGUUUAAUUCGAUGCAACGCGAAGAACCUUACCUGGCCUUGACAUGUCUGGAAUCUUGCAGAGAUGCGAGAGUGCCUUCGGGAAUCAGAACACAGGUGCUGCAUGGCUGUCGUCAGCUCGUGUCGUGAGAUGUUGGGUUAAGUCCCGCAACGAGCGCAACCCUUUUCUUUAUUUGCCAGCACGUAAUGGUGGGAACUCUAAAGAUACUGCCGGUGACAAACCGGAGGAAGGCGGGGACGACGUCAAGUCAUCAUGGCCCUUACGGCCAGGGCUACACACGUGCUACAAUGGUUGGUACAGAGGGUUGCUAAGCCGCGAGGCCACGCUAAUCUCACAAAGCCAAUCGUAGUCCAGAUUGGAGUCUGCAACUCGACUCCAUGAAGUCGGAAUCGCUAGUAAUCGCGGAUCAGAAUGCCGCGGUGAAUACGUUCCCGGGCCUUGUACACACCGCCCGUCACACCAUGGGAGUUUGUUGCACCAGAAGUAGUUAGCCUAACCGCAAGGAGGGCGAUUACCACGGUGUGGCCAAUACUGGGGUGAAGUCGUAACAAGGUA